GAUCAUGGCUCAGGAUGAACGCUAGCGACAGGCUUAACACAUGCAAGUCGAGGGGCAGCAUAAAAGUAGCAAUACUUGGUGGCGACCGGCGCACGGGUGAGUAACGCGUAUGCAACCUACCUAUCAGAGGGGAAUAACCCGGCGAAAGUCGGACUAAUACCGCAUAAAACAGGGGCACCGCAUGGUGAUAUUUGUUAAAGAAAUUCGCUGAUAGAUGGGCAUGCGUUCCAUUAGGUAGUUGGUGAGGUAACGGCUCACCAAGCCGACGAUGGAUAGGGGAACUGAGAGGUUGGUCCCCCACACUGGUACUGAGACACGGACCAGACUCCUACGGGAGGCAGCAGUGAGGAAUAUUGGUCAAUGGGCGAGAGCCUGAACCAGCCAAGUCGCGUGAAGGAAGAAGGAUCUAUGGUUCGUAAACUUCUUUUGCAGGGGAAUAAAGUGCAGGACGUGUCCUGUUUUGUAUGUACCCUGAGAAUAAGGAUCGGCUAACUCCGUGCCAGCAGCAGC
rnacentral:rRNA from 1 species